CACGUAGGGCGCAAGCGUUGUCCGGAAUUAUUGGGCGUAAAGAGCUCGUAGGCGGUCUGUUGCGUCCGCUGUGAAAACUCGGGGCUUAACCCCGAGCCUGCAGUGGAUACGGGCAGACUAGAGGUAGGUAGGGGAGAAUGGAAUUCCCGGUGUAGCGGUGAAAUGCGCAGAUAUCGGGAGGAACACCGGUGGCGAAGGCGGAUCUCUGGGCCUUACCUGACGCUCAGGUGCGAAAGCUAGGGGAGCGAACAGG
rnacentral:rRNA from 1 species